rnacentral:rRNA from 1 species
AUGAACGCUGGCGGCGUGCCUAAUACAUGCAAGUCGAGCGAACAGACGAGGAGCUUGCUCCUCUGACGUUAGCGGCGGACGGGUGAGUAACACGUGGAUAACCUACCUAUAAGACUGGGAUAACUUCGGGAAACCGGAGCUAAUACCGGAUAAUAUAUUGAACCGCAUGGUUCAAUAGUGAAAGACGGUUUUGCUGUCACUUAUAGAUGGAUCCGCGCCGCAUUAGCUAGUUGAUAAGGUAACGGCUUACCAAGGCAACGAUGCGUAGCCGACCUGAGAGGGUGAUCGGCCACACUGGAACUGAGACACGGUCCAGACUCCUACGGGAGGCAGCAGUAGGGAAUCUUCCGCAAUGGGCGAAAGCCUGACGGAGCAACGCCGCGUGAGUGAUGAAGGUCUUCGGAUCGUAAAACUCUGUUAUUAGGGAAGAACAAAUGUGUAAGUAACUAUGCACGUCUUGACGGUACCUAAUCAGAAAGCCACGGCUAACUACGUG